GCCUUCUGCCGUCAGCGACCGCCCUGCCCAUCGCCGCAGUGUCCUCGGACUGUUUCCGGAGUGAAGAAGGUGAUUUCUGCUCUCAACCUUCGCGUCGCUGGGUCCGCUUCGCGCUUGACAAUUCAGUCUGCUCUGGAGAGGAGCUGAGAGUUUCUCACGUGUCCCACGUGCCAUCAGAAUGCCACCUUCACAGUCGUACAGGGCGUAUCGGCGCUGGAAGGGCUGUGCUUGAAACUAAGGGCGAUCCAAGCACCACACAUGCUGUUGUCCCAGUGCACCGCAGAGUAAAGUAUGUUUUCAAAUGUGCCGUGCCUUUUUCAGAUUCUAAAUUGAGACGAUUCUGAAGAAAUUUCCUCAGGAAGUUGUUGAAGAUACCUGAACCAAAACAAAUUGGAGUUAAGUACCCUUUUGGAAGUUCAGUGAAAUCUAUGGGCCCCUUUUCAAAAUAAUAUCUUUAAAUUAAAAAUAUAAACUUAAGAUGACAGUGGAAAUUGACUAAAUAUACAAUUAUCAAAACACAUGCCUACUAUGGUGAUACACACCUGUAAUCCCAGCACUCGGGAGGCUGAGGGAAGAGGAUCACCAUAAAUUCGAAACCAGCCGGGGCUACAUGGUGAGUUCAAGGCUAGCCUAAACUGCACAGCAAGAUCCUGUCUUUAAAAAGAACAGCAACCAAAAAAACCACACAGGUCUCAAGUUAACAUUCCACUCAAAACCAUAGGAUAGAAUUGGUCAUAGGCCCUAUAAAAGCAUGGUUGAAGAGAGUCUGAUGUUUAAACAAGGGAGCCAAGAGGUACAACCUUCUGAAGUACCACCAAAGGAGAAAGCUAGAAGUAUUUGUCGAUACUAUAAAUGACCACUACAUAAUGUGUAUAUGACAAACUUAACACAAAAUAUAGCUAGGGAUAUGGCUCAGCACUCUCUGAGUUCAAUUCCCAGUAGCACAAAAAAAGGGAAAAAAGAAAAAAACAUAGCUCUUUAGAGAUGGUGUUAUUAUAGACACCUAAAUUAGGUAGGACUAUUAUAGGCAGUCAGACAGGGCUAGGCCCUUGAGGGAGUCAGUGAAGAAGACUAAUAAGUUUUCCUACUCUUAAUAUCUGUUCUUCCUUAGAAUUCAUUCUUGGACUUCAUGGAGCAUGAACUUGGUGUAUCGUACAUCUAGCAGGUUGGGAAUUACAUUUAUUUCCCCUAUAUCUUUCUUAGAGAUCCCAUCAAGAUAAUUGGAAGGAGGUCAUCUGAAAACUUUGUUAAAAUAACUAAAUGGGGACCCCUUUGGCUUAAGGAAACUGCUGAACAAGACUCCCCUUGGUAAAUAGAGGAGCAGCUGCCUGGAAACAUUUUCUUCCUGUCUUUAUUCACUAAUGGGAUCCCCAAUAAUUUCCAUAGCCUUAUGGGAAACACACUCCAAUGAACAUUGCUAAAUAUGUAAUAUGUUUACAUUGGUUAUCAUCAAAGGGUUAAGUUCUCUGUGAGUAAAACUAAGGUUUUCUAAUAGAUGUACUUGGUACAAAACUAAUUUAAGACGUAAAGGUUUCCAUAUAGCUGUGACACCCAUUAUUGCUGAUUUCAUGGUGUACUAAAUGUAUUCAUGCCUUCUGGGUGUACAGGUUUUCAAAGAUGUAAAACUUAGGUUGCUUAUGGUGUAAGCUUUUUUUCUUUAGACUCAUAUCUGCUUUUUUCUUGUGCUGUAGCUACUUAUCAUAAGAGGUACAUUUCAAAUCAACAUGAGACCACCAAUCAAAUGAUAGUUUUAAAAACAGAAAGCUUAUGUGAUCUGUAUGUUAUAUAUGUCUCACUACACUUAGAGAUGCUCAGACACUGAGCAGUCCAGACAAUGACACAUGUUUCUUCAAUCCUACUGAAGGAAGGAUAACAAAUUAGAUGAGAGCUUCUUUUGUGUACUAGAGAGAGAUGAUUGACUAAAAAGGCUAUUCUAUACAAAGAUAGACAUUAAAAUGUGUUUCAAAAAUAAUAUGCUGAAAUACUAUGUGUGGUCUUGAUCUAAGUUUUCUCUGUGAAACUGUAUAAUUGUUGUCUGUGAACAUUCUGUAGGGACACAACUACUAAAACAACCAUCAUUGGUAAGAAGUAACAGUCCUAGGGCUGAGGAUUAAGCUCAGUGGUUCCAGCGCCUCCCCCUCAAGUGCAAGGUCCUGAGUUUGAUCCCCAGUGCCAAAAAAAAAAAAAAGAAAGAAAGACGUAACAGUCCUCUGGCUAUAUUUUACAUUUCAAAGUGCUUGAUAUUCAGAUGAGAUUAUAAUAAUUUAGCUCAUUGCUCCCUCUGCAUUACUGAUAUAAUCUUCUCUUCUGGGUGUUCAACAGCUGAAAUUUGGAGACUAAAACUAGAAAGGUAACUAUAAUAUUAAGCUUUCUUUAUCUCCUAGGGAAGCAUGCAAAUCUGGUCAUUGUGACUUGAAUCUUCAGAUGCACCUCCAGCCAUAGCUCUGAUGUGUUCACAUCUUCUGCACUGACACCCUCCAGGACCUAGCCCUAUCUGAAUGUCUAUAAUAUUUCUACCUAUUUCCUUGCACAAUCUUAUAACAGCUGGGAACUCAACAGUAAAUUCCUAAAUAGGAAGUCCCCUCUCUUUCUGUCUGGUAGAGAUACCUUGAGAACUAAAUGGGAUAAGGCGUGUUAAAUGACAGCCACCCAUAGGGACAGAACCUAAGUUCCUCUUUCUUUUCAGCUCUGGGGCUAAGGUUAAGAACAGGCUGUGAAAGGAAGUAAGUCACAAAACCUGUGAUUUGUUUAAAUAUAAAGAAUUCUAGAAGGUCAUGUCUGACAAAGUUAAGCUUCUGGUUGCACAAAGCUACAUGUGCAGUGCUGUCCACCUCAAGCAGUCCAGGCUCUCUCUGGUUGAUAUCUAUGGUUGUUGGUCUCUAAAUGUAAGUCUCUGAGGUAGAAUCACAAUGGAGCAAAAUUCUUAUGACGGAAUUUAUGUGCAUACUACCUUGAUUUUAAAAUGUUUAUAAAUAGACUGGUUUUAAUGUUUGAAAUGCUUAUUAAAAGACUUACUUGGG